UACAGAGGUCUCGAGCGUUAGGCGGAAUCACUGGGCUUAAAGCGUGUGUAGGCGGAUCGUUAAGUACCUUGUGAAAUCCCACGGCUUAACCGUGGAACUGCUGGGUAUACUGGCGGUCUUGAGCAACCUAAGGGCGAGCGGAACAGACGGUGGAGCGGUGAAAUGCGUAGAUAUCGUCUGGAACGCCAAUGGUGAAAACAGCUCGCU
rnacentral:rRNA from 1 species